UCCUUUAUAUCAAAAUAUACGAUG
rnacentral:siRNA from 1 species